GACGAACGCUGGCGGCGUGCUCAACACAUGCAAGUCGAACGAUGGUGCCCUGCUUGCAGGGUGGAUUAGUGGCGAACGGGUGAGUAACACGUGGGUGAUCUGCCCCGCACUUCGGGAUAAGCCUGGGAAACUGGGUCUAAUACCGGAUACGACCCCCUGGUAGGUCAGGGGGUGGAAAGAUUUUAUCGGUGUGGGAUGAGCCUGCGGCCUAUCAGCUUGUUGGUGAGGUAACGGCUCACCAAGGCGACGAUCAGUAGCCGACCUGAGAGGGUGAUCGGCCACAUUGGAACUGAGACACGGUCCAA
rnacentral:rRNA from 1 species